AUUGAACGCUGGCGGCAGGCCUAACACAUGCAAGUCGAGCGAGAAAGCACUUCGGUGCGAGUACAGCGGCGGACGGGUGAGUAACGCGUAGGAAUCUACCUGGUAGUGGGGGACAACUCGGGGAAACUCGAGCUAAUACCGCAUACGCCCUUCGGGGGAAAGCGGGGAUCUUCGGACCUCGCGCUAUUGGAUGAGCCUGCGUCGGAUUAGCUUGUUGGUGAGGUAAAGGCUCACCAAGGCGACGAUCCGUAGCUGGUCUGAGAGGAUGAUCAGCCACACUGGGACUGAGACACGGCCCAGACUCCUACGGAGGCAGCAGUGGGGAAUAUUGCGCAAUGGGCGAAAGCCUGACGCAGCCAUGCCGCGUGUGUGAAGAAGGCCCUAGGGUUGUAAAGCACUUUCAAUAGGGAGAAAAGGCUCACGGUUAAUACCCGUGAGAGUUGAUGUUACCUAUAGAAGAAGCACCGGCUAACUCCGU
rnacentral:rRNA from 1 species